rnacentral:rRNA from 1 species
GAUGAACGCUGGCGGCGUGCCUAAUACAUGCAAGUCGAGCGAACAGACGAGGAGCUUGCUCCUCUGACGUUAGCGGCGGACGGGUGAGUAACACGUGGAUAACCUACCUAUAAGACUUGGAUAACUUCGGGAAACCGGAGCUAAUACCGGAUCAUAUAUUGAACCGGAUGAUUCAAUAGUGAAUGGCGGCUUUGCUGUCACUAAUAGACGAUUUCGCGCCGCAUUAGCUAGUUGGUAAGGUAACGGCUUACCAAGGCAACGAUGCGUAGCCGACCUGAGAGGGUGAUCGGCCACACUGGAACUGAGACACGGUCCAGACUCCUACGGGAGGCAGCAGUAGGGAAUCUUCCGCAAUGGGCGAAAGCCUGACGGAGCAACGCCGCGUGAGUGAUGAAGGUCUUCGGAUCGUAAAGCUCUGUUGUUAGGGAAGAACAAAUGUAGAAGAAACUAUGCACGUCUUGACGGUACCUAAUCAGAAAGCCACGGCUAACUACGUG